rnacentral:misc_RNA from 1 species
GGCGGAGGCUAGGGUUUUGCAGUGCACUGACCACCAUACUUACCAAGUCGCACUAUAAAAGUGCCUUCUAGUGCUGUAUCGUUGGAUCUGAAUUCUGAGCGACUAAGCCUUUGCUCACCCGUCGUAAGUGCUGGGGUAUUUGUUGAACACAAUCUUAAAAAGUGCAAAUUCCUUUCAAGAUGAGCCGACCAAUGGAGGAAGAGGUUAGCAAGAACGAGGAGGAGGAGUUUAACACUGGACCCCUUUCAGUACUUAUGAUGAGUGUCAAAAAUAACACACAGGUGCUCAUUAAUUGUCGGAACAACAAAAAAACUUCUUGGUCGCGUUAGAGCCUUUGAUCGGCAUUGCAACAUGGUUCUUGAAAAUGUCAGGGAGAUGUGGACUGAGGUACCUAAGACAGGGAAAGGCAAGAAAAAGGCCAUGCCAGUGAACAAGGACAGAUUCAUUAGUAAGAUGUUUCUGCGUGGAGACUCUGUAAUCAUUGUUCUUAGGAAUCCCAAGUGAUGGAGAGCUGCUUUUGAAAUCAAUGGAUCUUGUGGCUGGGUCAAGUAUAUUACUGUAUCUGGAAUGGGUAUUGGCUGCUAUUAUCGGCACAUUAAAACCUGAUUUAUGCAGCCUUUCAGACUCCACAUCAGAAUUUCAUAUUAGCUGUAAAACCAAAUUGAGUUGCUCCUUGUGUAGGAAGUGUAGCUAACUUUUAGCCUCUUAAUGAUACGGCCCCUUGUUAAGUUGCGAUUCCAUUGUUAAUGACAUUGUACCUGUUCAUUUACUUGUCCCUAUCGAAGUGUCCAGUGAAUCUAUUUUAAUCCAGUAGGCUUUGAUGUGUAGGACGGACCCAAGGUAUAUUUAGAUCCAAUAAAUAAAUGUUAAGCCUGACAGAAGUCUUCUUCUCCGCCUGAUAUUUUAGUAGAAGGAUGUGCUUGCUGCCGUUUCAAGCGCUGCUAGCAAGAUGUCUUGGGAUCUCUUUUGUUUUCUAUCAUCAAAGGUGCUUCUUAUAUCUAUGUUGUGAUCAUGUUAAAAGUCAUACAAACGCAUAUGGAAGGGUCGGAGCAAAUCUCCACUAUAGCCAAGUAAUCUCUCCCAUGGAAGAUUUAGAGAGUUUUAAAAAGCCUUAGAUUUUUGUUGAUUUGGAGCUCGAUU